CUCCCUCGAUAUCUCUCUACCUCACAGUUCCGAUAAGGAAUCGAUACCUUUUCAGAGAGAGAGAGAGAGAGAGAGAGAACGAGAUCCUCGGAAAUGGAUCACCUUCGCUACGAUUCAUCAGAUCCAUGGUCGUGCUCUCUCCAAGAGGUCAGAGAGUCUGAAACAUUGGAGGAUGUUCAAGAGUUUGAUGAAGAAUCAGAAGAGGGAAUCGACAAGACCUGGGCCGAGAUCGCAAGUCGUGGCGAACGAAGCGACGGCGUAGCGUUCCUCGCCGGCGAGAGGAUGAAGAAGCUGGAGAAGAAGAAGAGUCAGGUUUUGUUGGAGGGUUACGUGGAGGCCGCGACGGCGGAUGACGACGACGAUCUGAAGAGGACCAAGAGCUUGACUGACGACCAUCUCGAGGAGCUCAAAGGUUGUGUGGAUCUAGGGUUCGGCUUCAGCUACGACGAGAUCCCUGAGCUCUGCCACACUUUGCCUGCCCUAGAAUUGUGCUACUCCAUGAGCCAAAAGUUUUUAGACGAGAAGCAAGCCCACCAGAAGUUGCCGGAAAAUUCUCCGGCGGAGGAGUCUCCCCCGCCGCCACCGGCAGCAGCCAGCCCGAUUGCUAAUUGGAAGAUCUCUAGCCCUGGUGAUCAUCCCGAUGAUGUGAAAGCGAGGCUCAAAUACUGGGCACAAGCUGUGGCCUGCACUGUCAAAUUGUGCAGCUGAACAAGAAACCCUUCAUGUUGAGCCAGAGAAAAUCCAAUGGAGACGUUGCAGGAAUGAAAUCUCUGGCAUUGCUUAGCCGAGAUUAGACCUGCCUUUUUGGUAGGAGUUGAGGAAACUGUCAAGAAAGAAUGGCAGGUUUGAGAUUAACCGAAUACCAAUGUGAUGAUGUCUGACUAUGGAGGCGUAGGAUCUAGAGUACUAUUGGUGAGAGCCUUUGUUAUAAAGAGCUUCACCGACUGGUCGUGGAGCUCUGUACUUGCCGAGGUAACUAAUCUAACUGGUCCUUUAGCUUGGUCGUGAGUGUGUUGAUAUGAUUCUUACAUGUUCUUUCACCAUGAUCUUGUGGGUAAGGUAACUAAUUAACUGACUGAAAGUAACAAAGAGUCUCAUGUAUGAUCAUCGGUGAAAUGACCAUGAGACUGUUAAUGAAGUCGACCAGAGGUUUUCUCCAGAUGAUUACAGUCUAAGCUGAAACAUAUAUUUCAGCUGUGGAAUGGAGAAAAGGCGGGCUUUCCAUUGAUGGCUCAUAGAGAACAUGUUGGUUCUAUGAAUCAUUACCUCAACAGCUGAAUCAUAACUCUUCAGUCUUCUACUCAUAACCUAUAUCUACUGAAAUAAAUCCAGUCUCUUGAUGGAUCUGCUCGCAAGAACCUGAAACGAACGCAGCUGCAGAGGAAUCAGAAGAGAAGAGUCUUCAUGUGACUUCUGGAUUAGGGUUUCUGCUCAUCAUUCGAAGAACACAGAGAGAAUGGAAAGGACAAGAAAUCAGGGCUGUGCCCAUACGAAUCUAUAUGGACAGCAGAUUUCUCCUUGCACUAAAGAUCUAAGCUAAGUUCUAACAACAGAUCCCAAGGCUUAUGUUGGGCGUAUGGCUUAGCCACAACUAAGUGGCAGUGUGGUUACUUCCAUGCUCAAAUAAGACACUGACUGGAUCCAUGUUCACUUCAGCUAAUCCCCAUACAACAAUGAACAAGCUCAAGUCCAGUACAAAAGAUUGCAAUUCCGUCCUGUCCAAAAAAAUGAUGAAGGCUGUUUGGAAAAAAGUAGUAAGCAAUGGGAAAAGAAAAAUACUCCAAGAAGCUGAGUUCACUUCAGGGAAGAAAAAAAGUUGAACAGGGCAGGAAUAGAGGGAAUGGACAAUUUAGAAGAUGAGUUUAUCUUGUUAUUUACCCCAAAGUGACGACAAUUCAUUGAUCCAUACA